GCGAUUCGCCACGGCCGCCAGAAGUAGUCACCGAGUCGGAAGCAACAUGUGCUGUACACGCGAUUCCGAGUUGAGUGCGGUUAGGGUUUUUGACGCUCGUGCCGCCGCCGCUGCCGCCGUUACGGCGCUCUGCCGUUAACCACCGUUGGUAAUAUUAUUAUUAUUAUUAGUGUCCUGACCUUUUUGUUCGCGAGUCUCUAAACGCUUCCGGUUAUUGUAGGUAUCUAAAUAGCGUAUAAUAUUGUGUUUUCGGUUUUUGUUCGUUUAUUUUUGGGUUUCAUCCCCGUCGAAGGAUUAUUUUAAUUUAUAAUAUACAAUUUGAAAGAUCCAAAAACUAGCUUAUCGGUACAAAAAUAAUUUUUACGGCGCCGUCAUGUUUCCGGGUGGCUGUUGUGACGAUUCCGCGAUCGUACCAUCGUCCAUGUACCCGAGCUGCACGCCUAUGCAGCACGGCGUAACCGGUUUCGCCCCGGCCUUAGACCGCCAUCGUCAUCCAUACGUGCCACAUCUUCAGCAGCAGCAGCACCACCACCAAAGAAACCUGCAACUGCCGUACCACCAACUCCAUGACCCCCCGAUGCAGCACCACGACAACACAAAUCUGUGCUCCGCGAUGUCGUCGUCUCCGAUCGCGCCGCUGGACAACGGUUACCGGUCCAUGUCGUCCUCGCUGUCGUCGCCCAUGUCAUCCUCUUCGUCAAUGUCGCCCAUGUCUUAUCGCCCCGGCUACUCGCCUAAUGAGGACCCUUACGGCGUUCCCGCUCAUCCAUCGGUGGCCGACUUUCCGCCGCAGCCGCACAACCAAUAUUACAACGCUUAUGAAAAUAAUCAUCCCCCGGCAGUCGGCCUUAACGACCCUCAUGUGCCGUUGUCCACUCAGCCGCCGAGCCAAGCUUUACAAAACUACAACAACAACAACUAUUACAACAACUACAACAAUAACAACAUAAAAUACAACAACAUCAACAACAACAAUAAUACCUACACCGAUCGCUACGAAUGCCAGGACUCGCAGCUGAUCGUCGAUAAACCCACCGGAAACAAUUCCAGCCGACAGAGUCGAAAUUUGGCAGAAAAACACCGACGAAACAAGUUGAAUACUUGUAUCACAGAACUUUCACAACUUGUUCCACUGAUAUCAAAUUCUUCUAAAAAAAUUGAAAAAACUAGUGUUCUUAGACUCAGUGCUGCAUAUCUCCGGCUAAAUCGAUUAUUAGAAGCACUAAAAGAACGUCGUGAGAAACUACCAGUUUACUUAAAUGAGGUUAAUGUGGCUGAUCUUCUGUUGGACGAUAACGAUAUAUACCUCAUGGUGACAUCAGUUGGAAAAAUAGUAUUUGUUUCGCACUCCGUGGAGAAUAUACUAGGCUUUUCACAGAUCGAUCUCAUGGGCCAAUCACUUUUUAAUUUUGCCUAUCCUAAAGAUCACGAUGAGCUAAAAAAGAACCUCAAGUAUCACGGCGAAAUAUCAAACAGCGCCAUUCUUGCUACUAAUGAUCCUUUACUGAAUUUUAAACAAAUUAGUAAUGAAAAUUAUAAAAUACAACGUCGAUCAUUUUAUUUACGGUUGAUCAAGAAAGUGGUUUCUCGUGAUGAACAACCAGAGUUGGAGCUUGUACAUGUGAUGGGGACGUUAAUGAUUCAAAAAUCCGAUUCAAAAAGUUCUGAAAUCACUGAAAACGAUAUAGUGUUAAAUGCAGUUGUCAGGCCAUUCAAUGAACGACGGGUGACUGAAGUAUCAAUGUUAGAAGCAACUCGCGAAGAAUACAUAACCAGACAUCAAAUUGAUGGCCGUAUAAUAUAUGUUGAUCAUAGAAUUUCUAUUGUAUCUGGAUUCAUGCCUCAAGAAGUAUCUGGACAACUGGCAUUCAAAUACAUGCAUAAAGAUGAUGUACGCUGGGUGAUGAUUGCUCUAAGACAAAUGUAUUUUAAGGGCCAAAGUUUUGGCAGUAGUUGCUAUAGAUUGUUGUCAAAAAAUGGAGAAUUUGUAUAUAUGAGAACACAUGGUUUCUUGCAAUUGAAUCCAAAUGAGGAUACAAUUGAAUCGUUCAUAUGUGUUAAUACUUUGGUUCCCCCAGAACAAGGAAAAAGAGAACUAAUCGAAAUGAAAAAACGGUUUACACCAUUAAUAGUUGCUGCAUCUGAACCUGGAAUUGCUGCAAUAACUAAUAAUCAAUUUAUGGAAAAAGAAUCUACUGUGACAUUGGAAGAUGUUACUGAAGAUCUUAAGACACUAGACAAGGUGGUCGAACAAAUGAUUAUAAAUAUUCCUGAACCGGCAAUGGACAAUUUUAAAGUUACUGCAAAAAAUCCUGGUCCUCUGCCGGAUAACCAGGAGUAUAUGAGGGUUGCACUAUUGUCCAAGUCAAUACCUCCAGUUUCGGUAGCAUCUAAUGCACCAAAAAUAUUUAAACGAACAUCUCUAUCCCCUCAGCCCAAUGUUAAGCCAGUAACUCAGGAUCGGCCAUCUGUACUUCGAGUUGCCCCACCAAUUUCUCGAAAACCUGUACUAGUUUAUAAUCAUCAAACUUAUGAAAAAACUACAGAUAAAGAACGAGCUUAUUUAGAGCGAAGGGGUGGUAUAUUUGUCUUACCUAAAAGACAAAAUGAUUCACAAUUAAUACUAGAUAACUUGCCAAAAAAAGCAAAAAUUGUGUUAGACACACAAGUUGAAUCUCCUGUCUGUAGCAAUUACAGCAACCAACCAGAUUCACUGUAUGACAAUCAGUUAAGCACUAAGGGAUGUAUUGAAAAUUUUUCUAACUUUGAAGAUACUUCAAUCCAACGAAUUUCACACAACAUCGAUGAAUACAAUAAUAUCGAUCCUUUAAUGGCUGAUGUGACGGAUAUUGAUCAUUUUACGAAAACAAUUGGAGAUAACUCUUUGUUCAUGGUACCAGAUAGUUAUGAUUCAUAUAUCAAAGAUGUUUAUGAUGAAGUAAAUCCAAUAGAUAUUCAAGAUCCUUUAAUUCAAGUCCUGCAACAAAACAGGAGCUUAGAAAGUGCAUUGCUUGAGAAAAAGCAGAACACUCUUAAGACAAAAAUGGACCAACAACAAGGUCAGCUGAAAGAAAUCCAAACCGAGUUAAAUUCGCUUCCUUCAAAUGCUAACACUAAAUCUCUAGCUAAACAAUUUUCCCACAUAAAGGAUGAAGUUGAUCAACAACAACAUGCGCUGCAUGAACUACAACUACAAGCGUUAUGUGAACUACAAGGAGUGCAUAAAAACAUUGGAGUGUGAUUAUCAAUACAAUAUUAUGUAACUUAAUAUUUCACUUGAGACACAUAAUAUGAUUGACAUAAUAUAUUUCCAUUCUUAUGAUAAUGCUUUCUUGAGAAAUACAAAUUAAAUAUAGAACGUCAUAACCAAUUUAAAACUGUAAAUUGUAAACUACUUGUUAAUUUGUAUUUAUAUAUAUAUUUAUUUUUUCUUUUAACCUAAAUUUGUUUAGUGUCAUUUGUCUUAUUCCUAAGUUAUCUAUCUGUUAUAGUUUUAGUUAUUAUUACUAUUAUCAUUAUUAUUAUCGUUACCUAGUAUUUAUAUGACACUACUAUAAAGUAGUUACAAAGGCUCCUAAUUUUCUUUACCUUUUGUUGUUUCGUUUUAUAUUAUUUUAUAUGGCAGAUGCUCAAAGAAUUUAAUAGUGACUGACUCGUGUUCAUUAUUAUACAUUUUUAAAAAAAUUUUUUUGUAAUAUUUUAAUAAAGUUAUUAACAAAUCCAAAAAUAUAUUUUUAUAACAUCGCAAAUAACAUUUUUUCAAUAUACCACUGUAACAGGCGGUAAAAAUUAUUAACAAUUUAAAAAAAAAAAAACAUUUUUUAUUAGUGCCAUGAGUUUUCCCAAUGUCAACAUGAAAUGAUCUUAAAAUUAUAUGUUACCACAAUAUCAUCCUUUCCAUACAUAAUUUUAAAUAUACUCUAUUACUAUAUUAGAUUUGUAACAUGU